AACUUCGUGCCAGCAGCCGCGGUAAUACGAAGGGACCUAGCGUAGUUCGGAAUUACUGGGCUUAAAGAGUUCGUAGGUGGUUGAAAAAGUUGGUGGUGAAAUCCCAGAGCUUAACUCUGGAACUGCCAUCAAAACUUUUCAGCUAGAGUUUGAUAGAGGAAAGCAGAAUUUCUAGUGUAGAGGUGAAAUUCGUAGAUAUUAGAAAGAAUACCAAUUGCGAAGGCAGCUUUCUGGAUCAUUACUGACACUGAGGAACGAAAGCAUGGGUAGCGAAGAGGAUUAGAUACCCUCGUAGUCCAUGCUGUAAACGAUGUGUGUUAGACGUUGGAAAUUUAUUUUCAGUGUCGCAGCGAAAGCGAUAAACACACCGCCUGGGGAGUACGACCGCAAGGUUAAAACUCAAAUGAAUUGACGGGGACCCGCACAAGUAGUGGAGCAUGUGGUUUAAUUCGAAGAUACGCGCAGAACCUUACCAACACUUGACAUGUUCGUCGCGACUUUAAGAGAUUAAAGUUUUCGGUUCGGCCGGACGAAACACAGGUGCUGCAUGGCUGUCGUCAGCUCGUGUCGUGAGAUGUUGGGUUAAGUCCCGCAACGAGCGCAACCCUCACUUUUAGUUGCCAUCAUUUAGUUGGGCACUCUGAAAGAACUGCCAGUGAUAAGCUGGAGGAAGGUGGGGAUGACGUCAAGUCCUCAUGGCCCUUACGUGUUGGGCUACACACGUGCUACAAUGGUAUCUACAACAGGAAGCAAGACAGCGAUGUUAAGCAAAUCCUUAAAAGAUACCUCAGUUCGGA
rnacentral:rRNA from 1 species